rnacentral:lncRNA from 1 species
UCAACUGUCUCUCGACGUAGACCUUCCCUUACUUCCUAAAGUAUACCUGACAUUUGUUUUCGAAAGGCUUCAUGCACUACUAGAUCAAACGCUUCUUUGUUUGUUUGUCGUUGAAUUUCAAAAAUAUUCGAACUUGUGUUAUGUGAAGUCACCGUAUUAGGAUUUGAUGGUAGUGGCAUUGGAUCACUUACUCUUGUUCCAAGCACACAACCUAUCUUUCUUCCCUCAGUAGCUUUCACCCAUAAUUCUAGAUUACCUGGCCGGGAACGUGUGUGAUCCGCUUGAUAAGUGUGUUUGAUCGUUACUCUGUUUCUCAUCAGUAACAACAAUAGAGAAAGCUGCAUUCAUAGAGGGAAUUUCUUUCCCUGCCAAUAUCUGGCUUCUUAUGUUCAAGAAUUCUUCAUUCAGACCAAGAAGAAAUUUAACAACUUUAUCUUGCUCAAUUUCUUCCUCCCAUAUCUGAAUAGCACCACAGAUAUAUACUGUUGGAUCGAGAUCCGAGACUAUAAAGGGGGAUAAUAGCCUCUUUUCGAUUUAUGCAGAUUAAUAGCGGAAUUACCUUCACACACUUAAGUACACAAAUGGUUGUAUAAUAAAAUAGUAUAAUAUUGUUAGCAAUAUAAUACUAUUAUAUGAUUUUAAAGAAUAUAAUAUUAUAUCUUAUAAUAUUAUAUAUAUUGGACUUGCCUUUUGCUCUUGAAGUUUACUACAGUAUAUGAAUACGUAGUCAACUUUUCAGACGGUGUUUUAUAAACAACUAUAGUAUAUGAAUACUAAGUUAUAUUAUAAACACAAGUUAUAUUAUAGAGUAAAUGACCAGAUAACUGGAUAUAUAUUUGAUAAGCAAGAUAUGACCAGAUAACUGGAUAUAUAUAUGAUAAGUAAAUGCUUGAACAAAUAUAUGAAUAAAGAUUUAAAGCAAUGAAUAUAACCUCAGAUAGUUGACCAGAUAACUGGAUGAGGGAUCUGCGUAAAGUAGUCAACCUCUGUAUUUGACCAGAUAACUGGAAGAGGGAUCCUUUUCAAUUAAGUGUUGUUUAGUUGUUUUUAGAUGAAAGAUAAAAACUAAAGUUAACAAAGAACAACACAAGAGAUUUAUACUGGUUCACCCAAACAAGGGCUAAUCCAGUCCCGAUCAACUGUCGGAAUUCACUCGCCUAAAGAUUAUGGCAAAACCUUAGAGUAUCAAGGAAACUCUUAAGAACCUUUUUAAGCUUUAAGGCUACUUCGCUUAGGAACCAGUCUUUUACGGGUAGACUCACACCUUAGAGUAUCAAGGGCACUCUUAAGAAACUCUAACUUUUGCGGGUAAGUUAGUACCUUAGAGUAUCAAGGAACUCUUAAAAACCUCUCUAAGUUUUAAGGCUAACUUUGCUUAGAAACCAGUCUUUUACGGAUAGACUCACACCUUAGAGUAUCAAGGGCACUCUUAAGAACCUCUAACUUUUACGGGUAAGUUAGUACCUUAGAGUAUCAAGGAACUCUUAAAAACCUAAAAAUCUUUCAAGGUAGAUUCGACCUAAGAGUUUUCCCGAAAAUUUUAUAAAACCAAACUAGAGCUUUAUAGUUGAGCUCGAAAACCUUCUCUCACACUUUGGUACUAUUGAGACAACCUUCUCAACCAAAGUGGACACACACACUAGGUGAUUAGAGGAGUGAAAUAUUAAAGCAAACAACACUUCUUACUUGUAAAGAUGAACAAGAAGAUUAGAAGAAGAAGUUGGAGAGCUUUUGAAGCUUUGGAAAGCUAAGACACUUGAGCACUUGAAAGCUUGGAAGCUUGAAGGCAAAAACGUGUGGGCAAGUGUGGAGUGAAAGCUCUUGAGUUUGCUUGUAGUGUAGUAAGUGAAAAUGAGGGGAUUACCCUUCUAUUUAUAGCCUUGGCCACUCAAUGUCCACCCUUGGAUCUUCAAUGGAUGGCUCCUUGAUUUCUCACAUAAAUCCAAGCUUUGUCUUUGAUCUUAUCUUGAAUAGUGUUUUUCUUGGAUAGAGUUUGUUGGAGAAUCUUAUCUUUGUAUAAAUUCAAACUUGAA